AUUGAACGCUGGCGGCAGGCCUAACACAUGCAAGUCGAGCGAGCGGCGGACGGGUGAGUAAUGUCUGGGAAACUGCCUGAUGGAGGUGGAUAACUACUGGAAACGGUAGCUAAUACCGCAUACCAUCGGAUGUGCCCAGAUGGGAUUAGCUAGUAGGUGGGGGAACGGCUCACCUAGGCGACGAUCCCUAGCUGGUCUGAGAGGAUGACCAGCCACACUGGAACUGAGACACGGUCCAGACUCCGACGGGAGGCAGCAGUGGGGAAUAUUGAACAAUGGGCGAAAGCCUGAUGCAGCCAUGCCGCGUGUAUGAAGAAGGCCUGCGGGUUGUAAAGUUCUUUAGGUGAGGAGGCGUUAAUAACAGAAGAAGCACCGGCUAACUCCGUGCCAGCAGCCGCGGUAAUUC
rnacentral:rRNA from 1 species